UUAACCAAACUAUUUAAGAGACAAAAUAGCAGACGAGACACCUUCCACAAUUAGGUCACGUGGGAUAAAACGAGAUGUUUAUCGCGACAGCCAAGGAAGGGACGCUAUAAAUGACCUUCAGUCAACCAAUUAGAAAUAGCAGCCAAAUUUCAAUUUAAUCAUCCGUUCGCUUUUCCAAGCUCGUGAUUUCGGGUUCAACCCCACUGCCCAGCACCUAUGUUUAUCAACAUGGCAUACUGACAACUCUUUUCGAAAAGUAAACAAAACUAUAAUGUGAAAGUUUCUGGAAGAGAAAUUUAUGAAUGGAGAUGUAUAUCUAUCCAGACAAUAUACAGAAAUUGAAAGUUCACCAGCAUCGAGUUUGAAACAUGUCGAAGGAAUGAUAUAUGCCACGUCGUUUCCGGAUUACAAAAAGCCGCCGCUACCCAAAGUGAAGAAGAAGACAUCUUCAAAGACGUGUAAAUAAAGGAAUAUUUCCAAAAUUACAUAAAGGUUGAAAAAACAGAACUCUUAAUCUGCGCCGAGGUAAUGGGGCUCCCCAAGGUAAUGGGGCUCCCCAAAAGUUCCAUGGUUCUUCUUGUCGACUUUGCCUUUCAGCCUUUCGGGGUCGAUAAAUUAAGUACCAGUUGCGUACUGGGGUCGAUCUAAUCGACUGGCCCUCUUCUCCCAAAAUUUCGGGCCUUGUGCCUAGAGUAGAAA